ACUGUUUGUAUUGUUGUUGUUCUACAGGUAAAUAGAAACCAGGGUUUCCAUGUACCAUCAACGCAUGUCAAGUCAAAAGCUCUUUCUGCUCUGAAAUAUACAGUCCGUUCCCUUUUUGCUACAGCUCUACGUAAGAGACAUGGAACUCAUCUGGAUGCAGUUCAAAUAACAAUGUCACUUUCUGACUGCCUCAAGGAUCUGACAGGAGGAAUUGAGUAUGCUGCCAAGAUAUUAAAUGAAAUUCCCCAGAAAGACAUUCAGUGCACUAAAAGAGCCUCAAAGGCAGAAAGGGAAGGAAAUGGGCAAGGAUGGCUGUGGGCCUGAAGGCCGGCAGCAUGGAUGUUGCACGACUUACUGCGAUUGCUGCUUUGCUGGCACUCCAGGAUGAACCAAACACCAUCAGAAGCAGUGUGAGCUGUCAGAAUAGGACUGCCCAUAUUUCUUCAACUGGAAGCAUCAACACCUGGUGAUGCACUAGGGUGGUCUUACGGGCCCUUUCAAGGCCAGUGUAUUCUUGUGUCAACCUGAGGAAGCCUGUGACUAGAGCAGCUUGUCCUUAACCAGCAUUGUAUCAUAUUGGCUCAAU